rnacentral:tRNA from 1 species
GCUGAGGUAGCUCAGCAGUUAGAGCACUGGCUGCUCUUCCAGAGGUCCUGAGUUCAAUUCCCAGCAACCACA